UGUCUAUGAAGAAAUAACAUACAAAAUGUGGUGCACACUGAAUAACGUGCUUAGCGGGUUAUUUAGCAGUGUGCACCACAUUUUUUAUGUUAUAUCAAAUAGACAGAAAAAAUAUUAGUCAUUUCUUACAAUUUAAUUCUAAAUUCCAUUUUAAACCGUAGACAACCAUGAAUAAACGUUAAAGACGUCACGACCACAUGACUAAAUUAUGUCUAUGGGCUCAUCACAAAAUAACGUCAGCCUAUCAGAAGAUGCGUUACAUCCAAAAUCAAAUUAUUCAUAAAUAAAACCAAUGAAAAAAACCCCACACAAAUGUAUCUACAAAAAUCUGGUUAACUAUGGAAGAAAAUGUAAAAGAUGGUUUGAAUUGUGCUAAACGGGAAAUGAAAAACAUAUAAAAAAAAUUUGAAAUGUGUUUUUUUUUAUCUUUAUCUUAACCAUUCACAAUUGAUAACUGUGAGAACUUGUCGCUAUACCAUACAACAUUCAACUAUGCAUCAAC
rnacentral:lncRNA from 1 species